GGAAGUGUGUGUGCGCGCACGCGCAGUGCGUGCGCAUGUGCAGUGUGUGCGCACGUGUAUGUGUGUGUGUGUGUGAGGGGGAAGUGUGCGUGUGCGCGCAUGUACAGUGUGUGCGGGGAAAGUGCGUGCGUGCAUGCAUGUGCAGUGUGCGCGUGCGUGUGCGCGCAUGUGCAGUGUGCGCACGUGCGCGCGCGGGGGAUGUGUGUGUGUGUGUGUGUGUGUGUGUGUGUGUGCCCGCGCCCGCGCUGCUGAUGCAGAUGCACAGGAAGUGCGCUGUCGCCCCGUGUUUCCAGACAGUUCCAAGAAAUCCCGGGGCCAGACAGAGUCUCAUCUGAAGGACGCAGGAGCCCAGCAGAGGCGCAUCAGUGCAGUCCGGGCAGCCUGCUGUCACACCCGUCUUGGGGCCUGCACCACCGUUAACUAAUCCUGAUGGCUGGCUGGUGAGACCCGAGGCUCCGAGUGCUCAGCUCUGCACCCGAGCUCCUGCAGGUCCCCUGGUCCCCGGACGCCUCCACGCAAGUGACCCCAGUCACGUCCUUCCUCGAGAACCCCAAGUGGGAGGCUCCCAACAUGGCGAGCCCACCCUGCUCACCAGCCACACGAGGCCGCCCGGCAUGGCAGUCAUUCAGGGACGCCCGUGCGGUUUCCUGGCCAGAUCUGCUGUCCCUGGACAGGGCUGGGGGAGCCGUCCCCACGUCUUCCCGAAACGACUUCCCUGGUGGUCCAGUGGUUAAGAAUCUGCCCGCCGAUGCAGGCAAUGAGGCUUCAGUCUCUGCUCAGGGAAGAUUCCACGUGCAGCAAGGCAGCUAAGCACGCGCGCCACGACUGAAAGCUGUGAGCCUGGAGCCCACGCUGGGCAAAAAAAAGGCCAGCACCACGAGAAGCCCCCGCAACCGCAACUAGAGUAAGACCACACGCGGCAAGGAAGACCCAGCACGGCCAAGAAACAAAUUAAAAACAACAAAAAAACCCACGAAGAAAAUCACGUGUAUCUACAGUGUAUUUGUUGCUGUUCAGUUGCUCAGUCCUGUCUGACUCUACGACCCCAUGGACUGCAGCGCGCCAGGCCUCCCUGUCCAUUACCAACUCCCGAAGCUUGCUCAAACUCCUGUCCACUGAGUUGGUGACGCCAUCCAACCAUCUCAUCCUCUGUCGUCCCCUUCUCCUGCCCUCAAUCUUUCCCAGCAUCAGGGUCUUUUCCAAUGACUCAGUUCUUCACAUCAGGUGGCCUAAGUACUGGAGCUUCAGCUUCAGCAUCAGUCCUUCCA
ensembl:lncRNA